GCGAUCUUGGCCGAGUGGUUAAGGCGUUGGAUUUAAGGGACACCCUUUUGUCUCCCAAUAGGAUUCAUCCUGCGAGAGUUCGACCCUCUCAGAUCGCA